GUCACCCCAGCCCAUUAUCAUUCUUUAACACCUUAUUCAAAGUCUAACUGUUUUCUCCUUAGUCACAGCUUGUUGUCUUCUUCGUCCUCCUGCUGCUGUUUCAUGAGAUAUAAACGCAGCCGUGGAUCCCUCCUCUUCAAGUCAAUGGGCUUCCAUGCCUUCUCUCUUCUCUCUGGCUUCAGCUAAUAGGAAGCCCUAGCAAAAGAUCUGAAGGAGAGAAGUGAGUGAAGUCAGCGUAUUCAUUCUUCUGGGUCCUUCCACUUCAAGGCUGCCUCCGACUGAUUGCGUCCCUAACCAAAGUAUAUCCAACCUCCAUCAUAUGGGGACUUAGCAAGAAGGCAGAUGUCUGCAAACCAGGAAGAGAGCCCUCACUGGG
rnacentral:lncRNA from 1 species